rnacentral:rRNA from 1 species
AACGAACGCUGGCGGCAGGCCUAACACAUGCAAGUCGAGCGGACAUCUUCGGAUGUUAGCGGCGGACGGGUGAGUAACGCGUGGGAACGUGCCCUUUGCUUCGGAAUAGCCUCGGGAAACUGGGAGUAAUACCGGAUGUACCCUUUGGGGGAAAGAUUUAUCGGCAAAGGAUCGGCCCGCGUUGGAUUAGGUAGUUGGUGGGGUAAUGGCCUACCAAGCCGACGAUCCAUAGCUGGUUUGAGAGGAUGAUCAGCCACACUGGGACUGAGACACGGCCCAGAAUCCUACGGGAGGAAGCAGUGGGGAAUCUUAGACAAUGGGGGAAACCCUGAUCUAGCCAUGCCGCGUGAGCGAUGAAGGCCUUAGGGUUGUAAAGCUCUUUCACCGGGGAAGAUAAUGACGGUACCCGGAGAAGAAGCCCCGGCUAACUCCGUG